UGCUCCUUGCCUGGGAAGAGGAAGAAAGAGGCAGCAGCCGUGGGAUGCUCCCUGCAUCCCUGAAGGCAGUCCCCCAGAAGGGUGCAGCAUCUUCCUUGGAGCGCCCAGCCUGUGCUUCAGGUGGAUGGCACUGGAUGACAACGGGUGAUCAAAUAUACCGCCUCACCCACACUCCGGCCAUGGGAUUUGCCAGCUGAUUUUCCUUGAUCAUUGUCUCUUAAUUACUGAGCGAUCGCAAGGAAUCGGCGCACGCCGAGGGACUGCCUACGGAGGGAUUAAUCUCCGGCAGACCUCUUUACAAUCCUGUUGCCACACCAAUUCCCCACACUUACAGAACCUGACCGCAGUGUGAAAAUUGAUAUUUAUGCUAAGGAGAGUCAAGGCAUCGCCUGCGCACCGUUCCCUGACUUCUCUCCUCUGACGCUGCAGCGAGAAGUGCCGCUCCGUUUCCAAGCCCUGACAAUGAAAUAAGUGCCCUGCCCAGCCGAAUGCGAUGGACACAUCAACUCCCCGAGAUCCUGCAGUUGUCAGCCUCCAGCUUAAAGCCAAGGAGCCUGACUGCUGGCAGUCCUGGCCCUGCAAACUUGUUGAGCCGGAUGGAAACGGCAGCAGAACAGGCAGAUUUGGUGAUAGGGAUUAAAAGCCUGCUGCUGGGCAUGCUUUAAAUUCAUUCCUGCCUGCCUGUGGUCUCCCUCUGUCCUGCUGGCUAUUCGGGGUCAGCCACGGCGUGCUGCUGACAGAUUUCCAGGACAGGCAAAA